GUGACGAGCGGCGGACGGGUGAGUAAUGUCUGGGAAACUGCCUGAUGGAGGGGGAUAACUACUGGAAACGGUAGCUAAUACCGCAUAACGUCGCAAGACCAAAGAGGGGGACCUUCGGGCCUCUUGCCAUCAGAUGUGCCCAGAUGGGAUUAGCUAGUAGGUGGGGUAACGGCUCACCUAGGCGACGAUCCCUAGCUGGUCUGAGAGGAUGACCAGCCACACUGGAACUGAGACACGGUCCAGACUCCUACGGGAGGCAGCAGUGGGGAAUAUUGCACAAUGGGCGCAAGCCUGAUGCAGCCAUGCCGCGUGUAUGAAGAAGGCCUUCGGGUUGUAAAGUACUUUCAGCGGGGAGGAAGGCGAUGAGGUUAAUAACCUCGUCGAUUGACGUUACCCGCAGAAGAAGCACCGGCUAACUCCGUGCCAGCAGCCGCGGUAAUACGGAGGGUGCAAGCGUUAAUCGGAAUUACUGGGCGUAAAGCGCACGCAGGCGGUCUGUCAAGUCGGAUGUGAAAUCCCCGGGCUCAACCUGGGAACUGCAUUCGAAACUGGCAGGCUAGAGUCUUGUAGAGGGGGGUAGAAUUCCAGGUGUAGCGGUGAAAUGCGUAGAGAUCUGGAGGAAUACCGGUGGCGAAGGCGGCCCCCUGGACAAAGACUGACGCUC
rnacentral:rRNA from 1 species